AACGAACGUUCGCGGCGCGCUUAACACAUGCAAGUCGAACGAGAAAGUCCUUCGGGGCGAGUACAGUGGCGCACGGGUGAGUAACACGUGGGUAUCUACCUAUUGGUGGGGGACAACAUCUUGAAAAGGGUGCUAAUACCGCAUAAGUCCAGCAAUGGGGAAAGGGGCUUCGGCCUCGCCAGUAGAUGAGCCCGCGUCCCAUCAGCUUGUUGGUAGGGUAAUGGCCUACCAAGGCUACGACGGGUAGCUGGUCUGAGAGGAUGACCAGCCACACUGGAACUGAGACACGGUCCAGACUCCUACGGGAGGCAG
rnacentral:rRNA from 1 species